UACGGAGGGUGCAAGCAUUGAUCGGAAUUACUGGGCGUAAAGGGCGCGUAGGCGGUCUGAAAAGUCGGAUGUGAAAUUCCGGGGCUCAACCCCGGAGCUGCAUUUGAAACUAUCAGACUUGAGGUUAGUAAGGGAAAACGGAAUUCCACGUGUAGCGGUGAAAUGCGUAGAUAUGUGGAAGAACACCGGUGGUGAAGACGGUUUUCUGUGCUAAACCUGACGCUGAGGCGCGAAAGCUAGGGGAGCAAACAGG
rnacentral:rRNA from 1 species